rnacentral:sRNA from 1 species
UUUUGGUUUUUUUUUUUAAAUUUC